rnacentral:ncRNA from 2 species
AAACGUUCUCAGGGCGGGGUGCGAUUCCCCACCGGCGGUAAUUGCGUGCAAUGCGCAUAGCCCGCGAGCGCUUGUCGCAGUGUCGCUAGAAAGACGCGUCGCGGCAAGGUCAGCAGACCCGGUGCGAUCCCGGGGCCGACGGUAUAGUCCGGAUAAAGAGAGAACAGGU